rnacentral:rRNA from 1 species
UAUACCAAAGGUAUGGGGACUACUAGCAAUAAAUAGCAGUUUAAAAACUUUUUCUAAAUGAAGUAUAGGAGCAUUAGAAACAUUAUUUUAGAUUUUGUCUGGUAAGAUGAAAGCAUUGUUUUUAAGCGUUAAAAAAAAGUACCUUUAGUAUAAUGGCCUUUCAAGAGAUUUUGCUGUAUUAGCACCUCCCGAAAUAAAAAGAUUUUUAGGAAAGCAGAAUAAUAGAGAUGUUCGAUGUAAGAAUUCUUGAAUAAACUUUGCUAAGGAUGUGAUAUGCAAUUUCGAGUUUUAAGAUAGCUGGUUGUUCGAAAAAUGCUUUUAAGUGCAGCUUUAAUGUGGGGCGUAGUGUGUUAAAGAUACUCACUAGACCAGGAUGUUAUAAGUGAAAAAUUCGGCUAAAGGUUGGAUUUAAAAUGCUUUCUAAGUUAUUAAAUUUUUAGAAAGAGAAAUUGGGUUUAUGCU